UUGGUCAAUGGCCUAACGGCUGAACUGGCAACUUCGGAGAAUGAAGACCAUAAUGGUAUACUUUAAAUUGACUUAUCAAAUAAAGUUCUAAGUGUAUAUNGAUAAUGACGAUAUGCAUAUUUAUGGCUUGACUAAUUACGUGCCAGCAGUCGCGGUAAUACGUAAGAGCCUAGUGUUAUUCAUCUUAAAUAGGUUUAAAGGGUACUUAGACGGUAGUAAAUGUCUUGCUAAAGAUACAUCUCUACUAGAGUUUCAUGUGAGGAGGUCGUACUUAUGGUGUAGAGAUGAAAUUCGUUGAUACCUAGGGGACUGGUAAAGGCGAAGGCAACCUCUUAUGUAAAAACUGACGUUAAAGGACGAAGGCACAGAGAACGAACAGGAUUAGGUACCCCAGUAGUCUUUGCAGAGAAUGAUGAAUGCCAUAGAUUAGGUAACAAUUACUUGGUUUAUAAAUGAAAGUGUAAGCAUUUCACCUCAAGAGUAAUGUGGCAACGCAGGAACUGAAAUCACUAGACCGUUUCUGACCCCAGCAGUGAAGUAUGUUAUUUAAUUCGGUGAUCCACGAAAAACCUUACCACAAUUUGAAUGUUUUUAGAAUAAGGGUUGGUUUUACAACUAACCCUUUCUUUAAUAAUACAAGUGUUGCACGGCUGUUUUCAGUUAAUGUUAUGAAACUGCGGUUCCGACCGUGUAAUUAACGAAUACCCCGGCUUUAUUUAUAAAUUAAACGAGGCGUAAGCUUCGGCAAAAUAGAGCAUUUUCUGCCGUCUACAAUGGUAAGAACAAAAGNNAAUAAGACAAGUCAUCAUGG
rnacentral:rRNA from 1 species